rnacentral:rRNA from 1 species
AACGAACGCUGGCGGCAGGCCUAACACAUGCAAGUCGAGCGAGGACUUCGGUCCUAGCGGCGGACGGGUGAGUAACGCGUGGGAACGUGCCCUUUGCUUCGGAAUAGCCCUGGGAAACUGGGAGUAAUACCGGAUGAGCCCUUUGGGGGAAAGAUUUAUCGGCGAAGGAUCGGCCCGCGUUGGAUUAGGUAGUUGGUGGGGUAAUGGCCUACCAAGCCGACGAUCCAUAGCUGGUUAGAGAGGAUGAUCAGCCACACUGGGACUGAGACACGGCCCAGACUCCUACGGGAGGCAGCAGUGGGGAAUCUUAGACAAUGGGGGAAACCCUGAUCAAGCCAUGCCGCGUGAGCGAUGAAGGCCUUAGGGUUGUAAAGCUCUUUCAGCUGGGAAGAUAAUGACGGUACCAGCAGAAGAAGCCCCGGCUAACUCCGUG